UACAGAGGUCUCAAGCGUUGUUCGGAAUCACUGGGCGUAAAGGGUGCGUAGGCCGCACGGUAAGUCAGAGGUGAAAUCCCGGAGCUCAACUUCGGAAUGGCCUCCGAUACUGCCGUGCUUGAGGACUGGAGAGGAGUCUGGAAUUCACAGUGGAGCAGUGAAAUGCGUAGAUAUUGUGAGGAACACUAGUGGCGAAGGCGAGACUCUGGACAGUUCCUGACGCUGAGGCACGAAGGCCAGGGGAGCAAACAGG
rnacentral:rRNA from 1 species